CUAGGCCCCUUCCUUCCAUAAGACCUACUCAGGACUCCACUGGGCUGCUGACUACUCACCCUCCCCUCAGGUCAUCUCCUGACCCGUACACAGUUAUGUCCACCCAGGGUCUGCUUGGACACCUGUGCCUGAUGUUCACCAGGGGCCAGAUGUCGUCCUCAGGCCUGAUGUCCACCUAGGGCCUGAUGACUGCCUUGGCCUAUGUCCCUCUGGGGGCCUUGUGUUCACCUGGGGACUGUAUCCAGCUGGGGCCUGAUGGCCUACUGGGUCUUGUUGUUCACCUAAGGCCUUGUGUCCACCUGGGGACUGGUGAUCACCUGGGGCCUGGGUGUCCACCUGAGGCCAGAGGUGCACCUAAGGCCUGAGUUUUCACCUGGGCCUGAUGAUCACCUGGGGACUGGGUGUGUGCCUUGGGUCUUUUCCCUUUUCCUGAACAGGGCUUGCAGUUUCCAAACCAGACACAAUCUCCCAGUUGGAGAAAGAAAAAGGAUCCUAGAUGAUAGUGAGACAAAUUUCAGGAAACUCCAUCCAAAUAAGUAAAUGAGAAUGAGGACAGGAUUCAUUGCAUGGUGGCAUGUGCCUGCAGUCCCAGCUACUCAAGAGGCUGAGGUGGGAGGAUCGCUUGAACUCAGGAGUUGAAGGCUGCAGUGGGUGAGGAUCACAACACUGAAUUCCAGCUGAGGUGACAGAAUGAGACCCUGUCUCUCUAAAAAACAAGCAAGCAAACAAACCAAAAACCACAGACAAACCAGACCCCUCUUAGCAGAAUACUUCCAUGAGGUAAUAAAAGGUUUAAUUUAUUUCAGAAGUUUCUAGAUUUUAUUGUCUCUAUUUAGCCAAAGCCACAAGAAAAGUCAAAUUCAUAUCUUUAAAUGCUUUCAUUAUCAAUCAAGAAAGAAGAAAGUGAAACGAACAAACAAUUUUACUCAAGAAACUAGUGAGAAAUCAAAGAAAUGUCCAAGAAGUAGGAGACAAGAAUUAAUCAAAACAGAUUAACAGUGGAAUAAAUAAAUGAAUCCAACUGGUUCUUUGUAAUGGAAUGUAGAAAGACAUACUCUAUUCUUCUGGAUAGGAAGAUGAAAUAUCAUAAUCAUAUCAAUGCAAGUUUUAUGCAUGCUCAAACAUGUAUAAACUAAGAAAAAAUCUGAAAGGACAGACAGCAAAAUGUUUGCAGUUUUUUUCCUCCAAGUGGUAAGAUUAAAGGGACUGGACUAAGUGACCUGGAUCAGAGGGAGGGCAAGAGAUCUGCUUCCUGCCUGAGCCCUGUGAACAGCUGAAAUCACUCGUGUGUCUGCAGGAAUCAUUCUUAUAUUUGCUAUUCUGAGGUAACGUCAAACCUACACAAAAUUUGCAAGAAGAAAAAACACCCUGCCACAUACUCUUACCUACAUUCACCCAUUGUUAACAUUU
rnacentral:lncRNA from 1 species